rnacentral:lncRNA from 1 species
UUUUUUUUAAUAAGAAAAUAUAUUCGCAACAAAAGGAACUCCAUUUCAACCUUAGCUAAAGUAGAAUUCUGGAAAGACCUUUUUGUGGCUCACUUAAAUGCCUUAAAUGUAGAGCAUGUGCAAGUGCAAAAAGGGAUCUCAUCUUUACACAAAUCAGCCAUUAAUAAACGACACCCUUUUCACAUUGAUAUCACUGGCUUUCUACCAGAAAUGUGCUGAGUAAAAACUGUGGACCAUGCACUUCAGGCUUCAUACAUCUCAUGCCAAGCUUUAAUGGAGAAAGAACUAUCCACAUUUUGUGGCCCUGAAAAAGGAGAAUUAAAAAAAGUCCCUCUCAAGUAUCAAAUUUUUGUUUCCAAGUGAGUGACCAUUUUGUGAAAAGUACAAUAUAUUUUUUACUUUCAUGUUGCCAUGAUCAUUCCACUUUGCCUAUUCUUUGGGCCACAAGUUGAAAUCCUGUAAUCGGCUUUAAAGAUGAGGCUAAAGAUACAGACAAUUCUUGCUUAAAGUUAGCCCAAACUUUAAUUAGUGCAAACCAAAAGGACUAGAGUUAUUGGAUAUUAUGCCGUCCUGCUAUAGCUAAAUAUUCAAAAAGCUCUGGGUCGAACUUUGACCCUAUUGAAUUGGCCACAAAUUACAGCCUCUAAUGCCCCCAUACCAUUGCGACAGGAGAGGUGGAGCAUGAGAUGUCCUAAUUUCAACAACUUAUUCAACAAUUUCAAAAUUAAAAGCAUCAGAAUUAAAAUUGCUUGGUAUAAUAUAAUCGGCGCUAUUUGAAGUUGUUAUUCUUGAAUAGCUCUAAAUCAUAUGUUCACAUUAUAUAUAUAUAUAUAUAUANNNNNNNNNNNNNNNNNNNNNNNNNNNNNNNNNNNNNNNNNNNNNNNNNNNNNNNNNNNNNNNNNNNNNNNNNNNNNNNNNNNNNNNNUAUAUAUAUAUAUAAAGGCUUUUUAAUACUGCAAAUUAAGGAGGAGACAAUUAUGACUGCAUUGAAAAAAACUGAGUUUACAUAUUGGAGAUGACGUGUCAUUGCACGUAGACUGGUUAAAUAGUCAAAGAAUUAUAAUUAGUCAAGAGGCACGAGCAGCAACAGAUACAAGCAAAGGUAACAAAAGAGGCACUGGCAAUUACACAAAGAAAUCAGUGCCCGUACCUAUUCAAGAUAUUUAAAGUUCAAGAACUAAGAAGAAUUAAGAGAAUGAAUCUGACAGCACAUGAGAGUCCAAAUACAAUAUUUAAUGUGCAUUAAAUGCUGAAAACGUUUGAGAAUAUGUAUUUAAUGUAAUAGUUAUGUAACGUAGCAUUUAAUGUCAUUAAUUUCCCAUAAUAAGCCUUGUUAUGAUAAAUGUAAGAUACAUACCCCAAAAUAGCUAUAAAAGGGAGAGGAGAAAACAGUUGUAAGGACACAAAAUACUAUUUGAAUAUACUUUGGUUUACUUGCUUUAUUUCAGAUUAUACUACUCUCAACAGAAAUUACUUUCAAAGAAGUUCAACAAAGCAGGAAAUUGAAUCCGUAUUAGUUAAAAUUUGUGGAGAAACGCUUAUCAAUGGUGCCUUAACAUGGUAUUCUCUUUUACUCAAAAAUUCUAUAAAUUCUUUUGCUGAGCCUGCAGAUUCUUUCAUCAAAGCACACUCGAGAGCUCAAUAAGUCGAAAAAAGAAUGAAAGAUAUUUUUAAGAUCAAGCAAGGGGGCUCAAAAUUGCUUAAAGAUUUUGUAGACAGAUUCCAACGUGAAAGAAUGACCUUGUCCUCUGUACCAGAUAAUUAGGUUGCUAUAGCUUUCACAAGCAAUUUGAAUGAAAAAAGUUCAGAAACUAUGAGGCGACUCAAGGAAAGCCUACAUGAAUUUCCAGCUACAACAUGGAAUGACGUUUACAACAGGUAUAGCAUGAAGCUGAGAAUAUAAGAAGAUACCAUUCCUCGAUUUCAAAAUAAGGAAAAUGGCAGUUCAAGAAGGGUGGAAACCAAAAAUAGAUUCGGUAAAAACAAGUACGAUCCAUACAUAGGACCUGCGGGAAAAGACUCACGGUCAAAGCAAGAUAAUCAACGGUACGACCAUGUCAAGAAAUAGAGAUUCAGGAUCUUCAUCAAGAUUUAGGAAUGAUCGAAAUACCCAUGAGUCACGAAAUGAUGAUAGAAAUUUAAAGGCAAGGUUUGGCGGUUACAAUUUCAAUUUCAGCACCUUUGAGCUCGUGGCUGUUUUAAAAAGCAUGGGUGAUAAGGUACGAUGGCCAAAAAAGAUGAGAUCGAAUCCAAACAUGUGCAACCCUGGCCAUUGGGUGCGAGUUUCAUAAUGAUCAAGGGCAUAAAACAACAUAAUGUAGGUUUUUACAAAGUGAGGUUGAUCAUCUGUUAAAAUAAGGGUACCUUACCGAGUUAUUAAGUGAAAAAGGUAAACAAACUUAUACGAAGAAUAGGCAGGAGCCUCCAAAAUCACCUUCACCCAAAAGGACUGUCAGUGUCAUAAGCGGAUGGGAAGAUAUCAACGGUGUGACAUACACGACAUCCAAUAAAGUUUCUAAGUUCACCAUUACCCACUGAAAGUGGGUGCGACAAAUCUUCGAGGAAGAAAGUAUUACCUUCGAUGAUAUAGAUGCAAAUGGUAUAAUAUCUCCACAAAAUGAUGCACUGGUAAUAUCUUUACUUGUACAUGAUACUAAUGUGGAACAAGUUUAGAUUGAUCCAGAAAGUUUUGUGAAUAUUAUCCUGCUAAGGGUACUACGUGAAAUGCAAGCUGAAGAUAAAUUAGUACCAACGACACAUACUCUAUCUGGAUUUGACAAUUCCAGCAUAACAAAAGGAGAGGUAAUACUUACAACUUUUGCAGAAGGUGUUAUCAAAGAUACAAAGUUUCAGGUCGUAGAUAUUGAGAUGGCCUAUAAUAUGAUCCUUGGGAGACCAUGGAUUCACGAAAUAGAUGUUGUCCCAUCAACCUUACAUCAAGUUAUUAAAUUCCCAUCACCAUGGGGGAAUAUGUCAAAUCCAACAUACAUCAGGGAGCAUCAAUUCUGUAGCAGAUUCAAGAGAUGAAGAAAUAUUGCAACUGCAGAACCCAAUCGAGGUGGUAAUAAUACAAACUUCCAUUGAACAAGGGAAAACCGAUGUGGAUUCAAGGACACAUACCAUUCAAGAGCCAGAGGAAAAUGAAAACAUCAAAACAACACUUGAAGAGUUGGAAGCUGUAGUAUUAUUUGAACAGUGUCCUGAAUGGAAAGUCUACGUGGGGGCUAAUCUGAGCCCAGAUAUGAGAGGUAUGUUAAUUAAAUUUUUAAAAGCAAACAUGGACUGUUUUGCUUGGUCCCACUCUGAUAUGACAGGAAUACCACCGGAGGUAAUGACUUACAAGUUAAAUGAAGACCCAUCGUAUACGCCAAUCAAACAAAAGAAGAGAAAGCAAGGAGCUUUCAAAAAUCAAGUGAUCCAAGAUGAGGUUAAAAAAUUAUUAAAGAUUGGGUAUAUCCGCGAGGUAAAGUAUCCUAAUUGGUUGGCUAAUAUUGUUGUAGCGCCCAAAAAGAACGGUAAGUGGCGAGUUUGUGUGGAUUAUACACAGGCCUUAACAAAGAAUGUCCUAAAGAUUCUUUUCCUUUACCGCACAUAGAUCAACUAAUUGAUGCUUCUGCAGGGCAUGGGCUAUUAAGUUUUUAGAGGCAUAUUCAUGGUGCAAUCAAAUCAAAAUAAAUCCAGUAGAUGAGGAUAAAAAUUCUUUUAUAACAGAGAGGGGGACUUACAGUUAUAAAGUAUUGCCUUUUGGUCUCAAAAAUAUUGGAGCAACAUAUCAAAGGCUGGUCACUAAAAUGUUCCAAGAACAUUUGGUAAAAACCAUGGAAGUAAAUAUAGAUUAUAUGCUCGUGAAAACUCAGCAUUCAAGGGAUCAUAUAUCUCAUUUAUCUGAUACAAAUCAAAUUUUGCGUAAAUUUAACAUGAAGUUGAAUCCCGAAAAAUGCUCGUUUGGAGUUGCAUCAGGUAAGUUCUUAGGUUUUCUUGUUUCUAACCCUGGUAUUGAAGUGAAUCUCUCUUGGUUAAAGCCAUGGAAGAAACCUCUGAUAUGCUUUCAAGUAAAAAAGAGGUUCAGAGAUUAACAUGAAGAAUUGCAGCCUGGAAUAAUUCAUUUCUAAAUCAUCGGAGAAAUGCUUAAAAUUCUUCUCAGCUCUUAAAAAGCAAGAUCAUUUUAAAUGAAAUGGGGCGUGUCACUAGGAACUUAGGAAUUUGAAAACAUAUUUAUCAAAUCCACCGCUGCUUACAAAACCAAAGGCAGGAGAAAGAUUGCUCAUUUACUUUUCUGUUUCAGAAGUAGCGGUAAAUGUUAUUUUAGUCCGAGAGGACCUAGGUAAAAAAUCUCCUAUCUAUUAUGUUAGUAAAUAUUUGUUAAAUGCAGAGAUACAGUACCAUUAUUAGAAAAACUCGCACUUACUUUAAUCAUGGCAUCUAGAAAGUUAAGACCAUAUUUUCAAUGUUAUCCUAUUGCUGUAGUAACCGCUUACCCAUUACGUAAAAGAAUGAAUUGUCAGGAAGGUUAGCUAAGUGGACUAUUGAGUUAAGUGAAUAUGAUAUCACCUACCAACCUAGAACUGCUAUAAAAUCUCAAGUAUUAGCUGAUUUCGUGGCCAAUUUGAGCCAAGGGAUGCAAUUAGAAGCAGAAAAAGAGUUGCAGGUGUUUAACGGAGCUAACCUAGGAACUUGGACUUAUUCACCGAUGGUUCGUCUAAUGUAAAAGGUGCAGGUUUAGGGAUUGUUUUGGUACCUUCUACGGGUGAAACCAUUCGACAAGCUAUCAAAUAUCACUCUAUUACUAACAAUGAGGCAUAGUAUGAGGCUGUGAUAGCAGGUUUAGAACUGGCAUGAGAGCUUGGUAUACAUCUGAUUAUAAUCAAAAGUGAUUCACAGAUCAUGGUUAACGAAAUGCUGGGGACUUACACGGCUAGAGAGGCAAGGAUGCAGCAGUACUUGGAAAAGGUACGAGAAUUCAUACAGCAAUUUCAAACAUGGAAAGUUGCACAAAUACCAAGGGAUAAAAAUGUUGAAGCAGAUGUCCUAGCUAAUCUUGCAUCUGCAGCUGACGUGGCAAGUGAUGCAAAUGCUUCAAUUAUACAUUCAUUUCAUUCAGUUCUCGAUCCAAUAAGAACGAGGUAAAUUUCAAUAAAUUAAACUUGGGAUUGGAGGAACGAAAUUGUCGCUUUUUUGCAGUAUGGUACCAUUCCUGAUGAUAAGAAAAAGGCACAUGCACUUCAGAAAAAGGCUGCUCGAUAUUGUUUAAAGCAAGGGAAACUUUAUCGUAAAAUAUUCGGUGUUCCCUUAGCAAGAUGCCUCGGACCUUCUCAAACAGAGUACAUAACGAGAGAAAUACACGAGAGACAUUGUGGAAUCACGCAAGAGGAAGAUCAAUGGUAAGAACCUUAAUUAGGCAGGUUAUUACUGGCCUAAAAUGGAAGAAGAAGUAGAAAGUUUUGUCUACAUGUGACAAAUGCAAAAGGUAUGGUAACAAUAUGCAUAGACCUGCAGAAUUAUUACAUCCAGUCAUUGCACUGUGGCCAUUUAUAAAAUGGGGAAUGGAUAUCAUUGGUCCAUUACCACAAGCAAAAGGACUGUCACACCUCCUUUUUCCGUACCCCGCGGGGGCGCAAGGGAGUUUUUUCAAUUAAAGAACAAUUGAAACGGGAUUUAUUUAUUUAAUUCAGAGUCACCACUCGGGAGAUUUAUGGUGUCCCAAGUUACCGAUUGAAUCCCGAAUCGAGGAAAAGAUUUGACUUUGUUUAACAGUCCGCGAACCAUAAAUCCAGAUAAGGAGUUCUAUUACCCCGGGAGAAGGUGUUAUGCAUUCUCGAGUUCCGUGGUUCUAGCACGGUCGCUCAACUGUUAUAUUCGGCUUUUUUAUCCGAUUUUUAAACAUGUUGCAACUUAUGUGCAAAUUCUAACUUUUAGCCACUCUUAUUAUUAUUAUUAUUAUUAUUAUUAUUAUUAUUAUUAUUAUUAUUAUUAUUAUUAUUCAUAGAAUUUCAACGUCGUGAAAACGUAUCUCGAACCACGUUACAACCACUGUAUACGUGGUCGUCGGCAUAUUUUGACUCCGUCGAGAUUUGGAUUUGGAUUACAUAAAUGCACACUCGAGUUUAGGAAGGUAAGAUUAAUUAAGGUGCAUCCUAAAGAGACUAACGCAUUGUUAUUUUGGGAAGAGGCCGUGAAAUUCGCUAAACGGCCAACUGUGAAGUCUAUCCAAUUAUCAAGUGUAUUUAUUGAAGGCCCCGCAAUUUGUAAUUUACUGUGGUGAGGCACGCCUCCUUUAUUUUAAGGAUAUCCUAAAGUGACUAUAUUUCUAUUUAAAUUCGUCUCUAAAAUAAAAAAGAAAAAGAAAAAUCCUAAUUAAUUACGAGCUAAGAAAAUAAAAAUAAUAACAUAACACACUAAUUGCUAUAUUAAGGCAAAUAUUAAUGGAAAGGAAUUCUACUUUAAAAAGGAAAAAAAAAGAAAAAAUCGAUAUUAUAAAUAAAAUAAAAAAAAUUCGAAAUUAUAAAUAAAAUACAAAAUUCAACAAGUAAUAUUCAAAAGAAAUCAAUUAUAGCUAGAUCAAAACUCGCAUUAUUAUAUAAAAACUAGUGGAAUUAAUUAUUCAUAACCGUUUGAAACUAGAUUUAACCAUAAUUACUAAAGCUUAUUAGAAAGUUUAUUAAACUUAAAUGUUAAGCCAUCUUUCUUGAACUCAAAUCAUGCACUAAUGCGUAUUAUACGAAGUUAAUUUUAAUUCAUGCUUUAACUAGUCAUAUUGCUCCAACUCGUGCCUAUGGAUUAAUGUUCUUAGCCUUGCUACGUGGAAUCAUACUUCAGAUACGUCAAAUCUACUGAUUCUAUUAUUAACCAAAUAUAUUUCUCCAAAAUUCGCGGAUCUUCGUUACUAACAAGAUUCAAAGAUCAUCCACCUCAAGUUGUUUCUAUUCCAAUUUAUGCAAAUUAAAAUCCGAAUUUUACCUAUCAAUUAAAUUAAUUUGAAAAGAGAGAUCACGAACUACUUUCUUUUAAACAUGAGAACUAGUAAAGCUGAAACUAUUAGUUAUGCGAUUCAUGCAAACAUACGUCCUAUAGUUCAAUAAUCUAACAACUUGCUCAAACUCAGCAAGAAUGCCGUAUUGACUAAUAUUCACGCCAUUUCAAGGAUCUUAGUUUCGUGAUCUAAUAGGAAACGAUCUUAAUUAUGCAUACCUCUACCAUUUGUAUAGCAGGAAAACAUAUAACUAAUGUUUAACUAAAAUACAAAUAUAUUAUAACUAAAUACAUAAAUUUCUGCCAUUUCAUUUCAUAUUCAAGGCGUACAUCAAAAAAAUUCAAAGUGGUGUACCUAGUAUUGGAAUACAAAGAAGAUUAAGAUCAGUAGGAAGCAAUGGCAGCACACACACAUCAAUAGUAGUUCAACAACACGGGAGAAACCCAGUAACAACGGGAAUAACAGAAAACCCAGGAGAUUGCAAACAAACAAAAAAAAUAAGGAAUUUCCAAACCAACCGAAAACCAAUAGUAAACCCAAGCAACGCUACUUGAAUGCCAGUAGUAUUAGAAAACAAGCAGAUACUAACAGAGAAAUAACCUGUUGCCAAAAAUAGUCACUUCAAAUUUUUAACACUCAGGAAAAAGAAGCUUGAAACUUCAAUGAACAAUAGAAGUUGAUGUUGAUUGUUAACAGUGAAGAAGAACAUACUUUUUCUUUAUUUUCUAACUUUCAAACACUCAAAAAUUCUUAAGAUUCAAAGUCUUUUUCUUUUUUCCAUCUAGUAAUGAAAAUAUUUUUCUCUUUAAAUUUAGUCCUUGUAUACCCAAAGCAAGACUCUUUCCUCUAUUCUUUUAACUAUUAACUUUUACUUUUAAAUUAUUAUUACUAACCAUUUUACCUCUUUUACUUUCCAGCCCAUAUUCUUCUAACUAUGUGGCUUUUUAACCUUUUAUUGUUACAUAUACUAUAUCUGAUUUUAAUUAAGUAAAAGUAGUCAACACGAUCCUGCAUUUUAUGUGGAAGAGACACUAAAGAAACACACGACCAUUUAUACUUUGAAUGUUUAUACUCCCAAGCACUGUGGCAAGGUAUGUUACAAUGGUUGAAGUAUCAAAGAACGACAGGUACAUGGAAAACAGAAGUGUAAUGGUUAACUGCUAAUGUUAACAGCAGAAACCCCAGAAAAACCAUCCUAGGUGUGGUGUUUGCAGCAGUAGUUUACAACAUCUGGAUGGAAAGGAACANNNNNNNNNNNNNNNNNNNNNNNNNNNNNNNNNNNNNNNNNNNNNNNNNNNNNNNNNNNNNNNNNNNNNNNNNNNNNNNNGAAAAGGAACAACAGAAGGUUUCAACAAUCAAGCAGAGACGCCAAAGAUCGAGCAAAGGAGAUUGCACUUCAAGUGCACUUUACUGGCAUAAAGCUACCUAAAUGGUCACCCAUUUUACAGAACAUUAACAGCUAUCCUUCGUGUGAGUAUCCAAAAUUGUAGCAACUUUCUCUCUGUGAUAGGAUAUUAGCUUAACAACAAUAGUUGUAGAGUUUCAAAUUGAUUGUACUGUUGAGAUCUGUUCUAGAGUCCAAAAGAACAGAUGAUGUAAAUUUGCCAAAUAGUUGAAAUAAAACAAAAAAUUUCUUCUAAAAAAAGUAGUCAACACGAACCCCACAGUCUCACCUAUUUAGUGGUCAAAGAAGACCUUUUAUUAUUACCCCCCUUUUUCCUUUACAUCAUUAUGUAUUAUCCCCCACAAACCCUUGUCCCCUCUUAUUUUAAUUAAAUGUUACGGGCCCACAUUUAAUUAAUUCCCAAAAUACCCCCAAAAUUAUUGAAAAUUAUUAUUCUUUCCCAUCAUCUAUAUCCAAUCUUUCCUAAUCAAUUCAAACAAUUAAUAUCACCAAACAAACUCCUAAUCAACAACAUUCAGGAAUCACUUCAACAAAGUAAGAUUUAUAUCAACAUUUGAAGAUCAUAUUCAUAUUUGAAAAAGAACAAUCUAGUAGAUUUAAAUUACCAAACUCAACAUCAGUUGAACUUCAAAUUAAAAUCAACAGCAUUAUAACCAAGAUGAAAGAUUCAAGUGAUUUAAACUAACACACUUCUAUAUUAAAACUAAACAAGAACAAAUAAAUGAAAAUUGGGUUGGUUAUUGAACCGCCCAUUUAGCGAGAAAUUUAAAACAAACUGAACUAGGAGUGAAUCUUAUCAACACUCUAAAUCAAAACUAUACAAAAAUGUAAGAUUACUGACAGUGAGCUAAAUUCCUAUGGAUUAUCACAUGACACAUCAAAGAGUAUAACCCAUGACAAUCAAAUAAACGAUGAACAAAACUGAAAUACAACUAAGAAAAACAAAUAACAAUAUCAAAAAUAGAACAAAAGAAGAGGAAAAUACCUCAUGAAAUCAGAACAAGGCGAACUCAAGCUUGAACUUAUCCGUUUCCCCUCUGCUAUUUCUCGUCAUUAUUUUGUAUAUUUUUAGGAUUGUUGAUGAUCGGACAAGGUGAAGACGAGGACUGUUGACGAGCAGUUAGUGUUCAACGACGAGCAUGGUGUUAGACGACUCGACUGGGCCGGCGUGACUGCUGAUCGUUUGGUCAUUUGGAUCUAUCUUCAUGGUUGUUUGGAUUGGUCGUUGGUGUGAGUUGACAGAGGAAGAAGAAAACGACGCAGCAGGGGGUGGUCGUUUGGUUGCGUGAAGGAGACAUGAAGGUGGUUCGCUUGAGAUGAAGGUUUUGGAGAUGAUGAAGACGAUCAACGACUGGGUGGUCGACGAUGGGAGGCAGUGUGGGUUCGACUGGUUGGAGAUGAUGACCAGGCAGGGGGUUCGUUUUCGUCGUUUGAUUGGUUAGCGAUAUGGGUGGUCGUUUGGAACAAGGGGUGAAGCAGACUGGUUCGUCGGUGGUCGUGGGUGACGAUGCUGGGCAAUGAAGUGGUCGACUGGACUGCUUCAAACAUUGGUCUGGACGUUUCUGCGUUCUUGUGGAAUUUGGUUGCUCGUGGAGGUUGAUGGGGCAGCAACGUCAUUGCUGGGGUCUUCUGGUCGACGGGCUGUGCGAUGGUGAGAAGCUAGUUGGGUAGUUUUUCGGCGAACUGAGAGUGAUGGGGUGGUGGGGAAGAUGAGGAAGAACGGAGGGGGCAGCAUGGUGGUCAGAAAUGAUGGGUUUCCGACGUGGGGGUGGUUUCUAGCUAAGGUUUUGAGGGUGUGUUUGGAGAAGAUGAAGAGAGGGUGGUGGGUGCUUAGGUGUGACGGCCAGAGAGAGUUUAGGGUGUGUUUAGGGUUAGGUUAUUUGGUUAAAUGAAAAAAGAAUCUGAAAAAUCAAAAGAG